rnacentral:rRNA from 1 species
GAUGAACGCUGGCGGCGUGCCUAAUACAUGCAAGUCGAACGAAACUUCUUUAUCACCGAGUGCUUGCGCUCACCGAUAAAGAGUUGAGUGGCGAACGGGUGAGUAACACGUGGGCAACCUGCCCAAAAGAGGGGGAUAACACUUGGAAACAGGUGCUAAUACCGCAUAACCAUAGUUACCGCAUGGUAACUAUGUAAAAGGUGGCUAUACUACCGCUUUUGGAUGGGCCCGCGGCGCAUUAGCUAGUUGGUAGGGUAAAGGCUUACCAAGGCAAUGAUGCGUAGCCGAAUUGAGAGGUUGAUCGGCCACAUUGGGACUGAGACACGGCCCAAACUCCUACGGGAGGCAGCAGUAGGGAAUCUUCCACAAAGGGCGAAAGCCUGAUGGAGCAACGCCGCGUGGGUGAAGAAGGUCUUCGGAUCGUAAAACCCUGUUGUUAGAGAAGAAAGUGCGUGAGAGUAACUGUUCACGUUUCGACGGUAUCUAACCAGAAAGCCACGGCUAACUACGUG